CUACGGGCGGCUGCAGUGAGGAAUAUUGCACAAUGGGGGGAACCCUGAUGCAGCAACGCCGCGUGGAGGAUGACGCAUUUCGGUGUGUAAACUCCUUUUAUAUGUCAAGAAAAUGACGGUAGCAUAUGAAUAAGCACCGGCUAACUCCGUGCCAGCAGCCGCGGUAAUACGGAGGGGUGCAAGCGUUACUCGGAAUCACUGGGCGUAAAGGACGCGUAGGCGGGUUGGAAAGUCAGGUGUGAAAUCCUACAGCUUAACUGUAGAGCUGCACUUGAAACUUCUAAUCUAGAGUAUGGGAGGGGGAGAUGGAAUUAGUGGUGUAGGGGUAAAAUCCGUAGAUAUCACUAGGAAUACCUAAAGCGAAGGCGAUCUCCUGGAACAUUACUGACGCUAAGGCGUGAAAGCGUGGGGAGCAAACAGGAUUAGAUACCCCGGUAGUC
rnacentral:rRNA from 1 species